GAAGCAGGCCAAGACAGUCGCUGGCUGGCGCGUAAUGCGUCGGCGGGAGGAAGGUCCGGACUCCAUAGAGCAGGGUGACGGUUAAUGGCCGUCCGCUGAAAGCCGACCGGCGCAAGCCGGGGAGUAUAAGGCGAGGAAUAGGGCCACAGAGACGAGCGUAUUAAGUUACGGUGAAACGCGGUAACCUCCACCUGGAGCAAUCCCAAAUAGGCACGCGUUGAGGCGGCUCGCGGAGCGUGCGGGUAGGGAGCUUGAGCGCAGGAGUAAUUCUGCGCCUAGAGGAAUGGCUGUCAUAGCGAAUGCCUGCAAGGGUAGUCGCCGUAACAAAAUCCGGCCUAUCGGCCUGCUUUACAC
rnacentral:RNase_P_RNA from 2 species